GGGCGGAUUGGUUUGAGGAGGCAGUCUCUGUGUUGGCCCCUUCGGCUUUUGAGCUUUGAGCCCUCUCCUCUUCUUCUUCCUCUCUUCAUUCCUCCUACUUUCCCUAUCACUUUCGGAAUUCGACUAUUUCGGUCCGGUUGUUGAUCGAUUGUUGAAGGUUCAAAAUCUGUAAUCAUCCAGGUUUCCAGUUUUUUAAUUUUCCA